rnacentral:lncRNA from 1 species
CUCCCUACUCCCUUCUCUUCCUCUUUCUCCUCCUCCUUCCUUCUCCUUCUUUUUCUUUUUGGAAACCACUGAUUUAACCCUGAGAGAGGGAAAACUUGUCCUGGCAAGAAUUUCCAAAGCUCAGUUUUAUUUUUUAAGACAAAGUCUCGCUCUUGUCACUCAGGCUGGAGUGCAGUGGCGUGCUCUCGGCUCACUGCAGCUUCCGACUCCCUGGUUCAGGAGAUUUUUCUCGUGCCUCAGGAUCCCAAGUAGCUGGUACUACAGGCGUCAUCAUGCCCGGAUAAAUUUUCUACUUUUAGUAGAGACGGGGUUUCACCAUGUUGGCCAGGCUGGUCUCGAACUCCCGACCUCAGGGGAUCCACCCGCCUCGGCCUCCCAAAGUGCUGGUAUUACAGGCGUGAGCCCCAGCGCCCGGCCCCAAAGUUCCGUUUUACCCUUUUUCCCACGCUGAGGCUACAGCUGAACCCAGCCUCCAGACCACCUCCUCAUUGGUCUAUGGGAGCACGUGACAUCAUGCGUCCUCCAAUCACCAGCAAGCAAGCAAGGCGUGGGCGGGACCAAGGGCGGCUACCUCUGGGGCCAGCAGGAUUGGCUGUUGCCCGUGGUAACUGUGUGUGACGUCAUAAAGCUUCCUUGCACCUUGGCAAGGCCCCGGGAGCAGGGACCUUUUCUCUCCCACUAUACAGAUGGGGACACUGAGGCGCUGGUUCUCAAUCUAUGAAAAAAUGGGGUGCUGGGUCUUGUUCCGUCACCCAGACUGGAGUGCAGUAGCAGGAUCACAGCUCAAUGCAACCUAGAAGAAUUCCUGUCGUCCUGUGCUCAUGAGAUCCUCCCUCCUCUUGCAACU